ensembl:rRNA 5S_rRNA 5S ribosomal RNA
AGGUAUGGCCAUACUGGACUGAAUGCACCUGAUCUCAUUUGAUCUUGGAAGCUAACCAGUCCUGGGCUUGGCUAGCACUUGGAUAGGAAAGCACGUGGAAAUCCCAGGUGCCAUAAGUC